GACGAACGCUGGCGGCGUGCUUAACACAUGCAAGUCGAACGGAAAGGCCCUGCGUUUGUGGGGUGCUCGAGUGGCGAACGGGUGAGUAACACGUGAGUAACCUGCCCUUGACUUUGGGAUAACUUCAGGAAACUGGGGCUAAUACCGGAUAGGAGCUCCUGCUGCAUGGGGGGGGUUGGAAAGUUUCGGCGGUUGGGGAUGGACUCGCGGCUUAUCAGCUUGUUGGUGGGGUAGUGGCUUACCAAGGCUUUGACGGGUAGCCGGCCUGAGAGGGUGACCGGCCACAUUGGGACUGAGAUACGGCCCAGACUCCUACGGGAGGCAGCAGUGGGGAAUAUUGCACAAUGGGCGGAAGCCUGAUGCAGCAACGCCGCGUGCGGGAUGACGGCCUUCGGGUUGUAAACCGCUUUCGCCUGUGCCGAAGCGUGAGUGACGGUAAUGGGUAAAGAAGCACCGGCUAACUACGUG
rnacentral:rRNA from 1 species